UGUGAAUAAUAACUUUCUUCCAAGUUGUAAAGUGUGGCAAACUUUUAUUUAUUUUUUUGUAGGUAGUAAAAUAUCCGUGCACAAAACCACACAGCAGUGGUCUUCGGAGGAAACCAGCGCACUGCUUGAGAUAUGGUCUUCCACAGACAUCCAGGAGAGAUUGGGGAGCUCAAAAAGAAAGAAGAGAGUGUAUGACGAUAUAUGCCAAGAGAUGGUAAAUGCUGGGUUUACUCGUACAACCGACCAAAUCAUUAACAAACUAAAAAAACGUAAGAAGGAGUUCAUUAACAAAAAGAAGGAGAAAAGUAAAAGCGGCAGCCAAUGGAGCAAUAAAACAACUAACUAUGAUGUUAUGGACACUGUGCUGGAACGCCUGCCAGGGAGUCAAUUUACUGAAGCAUUAAAUUCAGCAACAGCCAUGCUUGAGACAAAUGUGGAAUCGCUGUCUUCUGCAGCUGAUCUUGACUCUUCACUUGAGGAGGUGCUGGACCAAGCUGAACCAUCCUUCAGCUCUUCUCAAUUCCAACCAAGAAAGUCUCUGCAAACAACCAGAAUAAAGAAGAGAGAUUCAAACCAGGAGCUGCUGGAAUACUUGAAAACUGCUGAUGAACGGUUUAUGGCACACGCCAAAGAACUUAAUACUGCAAUUCUUAAUAAAAUGGAUGAAGCUACGAAUUCUAUGCUGGGACUAUUGGGACGCAUGGUGGCGCUAAUGGAGGAACAGCAGGGAAUCAAACCAUGAACACAGGAUUCUUUUUGUGCAUUUUAUUCUCAUUUGCAUACUACUUACAUUUCAAAGUCAAAGCAAACCAAAAUUGAUCCUUAAGUUACUUUCUUAAUAUACAUUCCAGGUCUUAUUUGGAAUUAUUGUUUUGUACACGUUAUUACAGCAAAACUUUUAUUAAUCUGUCAUCAAAAUGUAAUAACUUGCUCUUCCCAUGAAAUUACUUUUUAUGCUUGACAACAUCAACUCCUCCCCUCCAAACACCUGUCAUAUAGAGAGCAUGACCAGCUUCACAUUGAAAAGGUGUAGCAAACCCAGAUGUGUUUGACAGGAGUGAAGGUAAAGUUAGAGGCUUCUAACUUCUACCUACAUCACAUUAACCGUGAAUAAGCUGUUUUCGUGUUUGUUGUAUUUGAUUUUAAUUUGCGUGUGGUGAAAUUUCAGUGAUUCAGGUUAAACUAUUCAGACACUUUUGAGGCCGACCUCAAACUCCCUUCAUGACUUUGAUUAAAAGGCCACAGUUGGAAGACAGCACCGUUGACGUCGAUGUCAACGAGCGUUCUUCAUGCACCAUAAAGGACCCAACAGAUUUCACAGACAUACUUGAUGUCAGUCAAGAAGAAGAAGUAUAAAUCACUUAUAUACAUUCUAGCAGACAUAGCCUGAAAAAUUACUGUAGUACUGGUUGAGUCAAUUCCCUCUUUCCUUUUUCCCUUCCUAAAAUGUGUACUGAUAGAUUGUUCCUUGCUGGUCUUUGCCACAAUGAAAAAGUGUUAGUAACAUGGCCAGAGUCCUAAAAGGAGGAAUUUUCCCUUCUCUACAUAAAAACAGCAUCAACAUACAGUAUUUUGGAUAAUGGAAUUUUCUUUGCAGAAUCGUAUUUUGUUACAAAUGCUGUUAACUUUAAACAAUUGUUACAUUUGUCUACUUGUUGUGUGUUGUUACUUUAUUCCUA
ensembl:lncRNA